CAGCGGAGGUUGCCUCAGGGUCCAGGUUCCCCAUCCUCUCCCCCAUCCCUCGGCUCUUGAAAACAGGCGGCCCUGCGCGGGGGACGGCGCGCUCCUGGAC
rnacentral:sRNA from 1 species